rnacentral:rRNA from 1 species
GACGCAGGAUGCAAGCGUUAUCCGGAUUCAUUGGGUUUAAAGGGAGCGUAGGUGGCCUUAUAAGUCAGUGGUGAAAUCUCUGGGCUUAACCCAGAAAUUGCCAUUGAUACUGUAGGGCUUGAGUAUAGAUGCCGUUGGCGGAAUAUGACAUGUAGUGGUGAAAUACAUAGAGAUGUCAUAGAACACCGAUUGCGAAGGCAGCUAACGAAACUAUAACUGACACUGAGGCUCGAAAGUGUGGGGAUCAAACAGG